AGUUUGUUCGGAUUCCGAAGUGAAAAGAGUUGAAUGGAUCGUUGGCCUCCGGGCAUGUCAGCUCGUGAAUUUUGAAUGGUUUCACUUUGGAUCGUGGUUAGGACUUCAUAGCUUUAAUAGAUUUCACAUCAUAAUUCUUAUGUGAUCUUUCCUAGGUUUCCUUAGUGACCUGUCAUGAAUUUAGGUGGGGUUUGCUGUUGCAAUGCUUGCCAGUGGGGAGAUAGGUUUAAUAGAGUUUGUGUGUUUACUGGUGUACGUUCUGGUAGAUUAGCAAGCAAUUAUGAACGUUUUAUUGCAUAUUUGUCCUGUGAUACGAGUAUUUGCAGAAAAGAAUAGAAAGGAAUAAGCUGUCAAGCUGUGAUCUGCUAUUCUUAAAAUUUCCUGCUUAGACAGCUAUGAUUAUUAGUUUGGGGACAUGAAGAAUAUACACAGCAGAUUCAUCACAACAUGUUCCACUGCAAUUUGUUGAUAAAAGUACAAAUUGCCUUUUCAGUUGUGCUAAUCUUGCUGUUAAGAUGCUACAAGUGGUACUGGCUGGUAAUUCCUUUUUUGAACAGUACUACUUUCUUGUUAUCAUAUUUUCUGUGCUUAACAUUUACAUUCUAGAGCUAACAAUGUGUAAAGUAAAGAGUAUUCUUAGAACAGAGGAGAGAGGUGAAAGACCACCUUCCAUUUCUCAUGAACUGUGUGAUAAAAAUUGAAUAGUAGGUGCACAAAGAGGUGCUCAUGUAAAGAAGUUAAAAAGUCGCAAGAAUGGAUUAACCGUAUCGAUCCACCAAAAUUCUGUUGUGCACUAGAAUUCGGAAUAGGUUUCACAAGAGCGCAUAAUAAUGAGCUAAACAGUGUAGUGGAUUAUUUCCUUUUGUCCACCUAGCAAUCAGUAUGUCAUAAAUAACUGAGUACAAGUCUGAUUCCUCAUCUUCUUGCUUGCCCUCAUAUCGAUAUAUGACUUUCUUCACUUUACCUAUCAUUGAAUCCCACAUCUCAUAAACUAAGUGAAGGCAUGGUGUGUCGGUGUCUGUCAUACGAAUCAUUUCGUAUAUAGGAGUGGUAAUCCUAAGAAUGUAGUCCACCUUGUCCCACCAUACAUCAUUAAGUAUCAAGUCCUUGACAAUUUGGGCCGUUGGAGUUGGAGAAUCAUCUCUGGCUUCUUUGUAGAUGCUCCAUUUGUCACUAAUCACCAUUUGUUGGAGGGCUGAUUUUACCUCAACAAACUGCUUCAACAAACAUACAACAGAGGCAAAUCUUGUUUCAGCAAUAGAAAGUAACUUCAAACGGCUGAACUCAUUGAACAUUGAAAGCCGCAUGCCAUGAUUCAUGAUAAAAUUCUUUAUCAAAGCAGCCUCAGUUUUGACAUCAUAUAUAAAUUCAAGUUGCUGCCAAAUAAAUAUCUCAUCAUCAGAAGGAUUGUUUCCUAUUUUUGGUUCACAUAUACUUUUCAUAGCAAGGUUGAGGGUAUGCACAACACAUGGUGUCCAAAAUAUGUUUUUAUACUCAGCCUCAAUAAUGAGACCAGCACCUUUGCAAUUUGAAGCAUUGUCUGUAAUGAUUUGCACUACAUUAUCUCAACCUACUUCAUCAAUUAUACCUCUCAACUUGUCAGCAAUGUAGUCCAUGUUUUUGAUCUCACCUUGACAAUUAUCAGCCCUCAAGAACAUAGGUGACUUGUCACAAACAGCAACAAAAUUGAUUAUUGGUCGCCUUUGAGGAUCUGACCAACCAUCAGUGCAGAUUGUUACUCCCUUCUCUGGCCAUGUGCUCUUUGUGCUCUCCAACAACCGCUCUAUGUGCCUCCUUUCUUGCUUCAGCAGUCCCUCUCUAACUCUCACAUAACCUUGCAUGUUGCGGCUGCAAGCAAAGGAAAAGGCUUCUCGAAGAUCCUACGCUACCAGUUGCACUAGCACCGCUCAAAUUGGGAGAUGCCAUCUACUGCAUACAAGCAAUCAAGCAACAAAACUCACUAACUCCACUGCUGAAACAGAACAGAUCGAGAUUGGGGAGAGCCGGAGAGGGAACAGAUCGAGAUUGGGGAGAGGAAGACGAAGUGGGUAGCAAGGAAAUCAAACAGCAACUGGCUACGAACUCAAGAAGAAGAGGAGAUCGAGAUUGGGGAAGGCCGGAAGGGGAUAGGAUAACUCACCGGAGCUGGAUCCACGUCGCAGGGGCGGUACUCGUCGCCGGCGAGUAGGGACGGAGCACGUCGCCGGCGAGCAGGGACGGAGCUCGUCGCCGGCGAGCAGGGACGGGUGCUCGUCGCCGGCGGGCGGGCGGGCGGCGGGCGGCGAGCAGGGACGGCGUGAUGCGGGAGUGCGGGAGUGCGGCGCGCUGCUGGCUAGGGCGACGGGGGAUAUGCGACAUGUUAUUGGGCUGGGCCGUAUCCACGAAACGGUGAUAUGCCGUAUCCAUGAACUUGAUACGUAUCAGGACGCGUAUCCGUUUUUUUUAUUUAAUAAAAAUCGGAUACUUAUUGGAUACGUAUCGGACGCGUAUCGGACGCGUAUCGGAUACGUAUCCAUAUCCGAUACGCGAUACGCGUGUUCAGCCAAGUAUCCGUGCAACGUAGAAUAUAUGUGCUGUUUGAUAAUUGAAAAGUAAUGAGGAGAAGUCCUAUCAUUGAACUUUUUUU